ensembl:lincRNA
AUGGAAAAGUAUUUACAGGACUUCUGCUUACCUUUCCUCAGAAUCACCAGCCUUCUUCAGCACCACCUUUUUGGGGAAGAUUUACCUAGUUGCCAGGAAGAAGAAGAAUUCUCAGUUCUUGCCAGUUGCCUGGGACUUCUGCCAGCAUUUUACCAAACAGAACAUCCGUUCAUCAGUGCCUCUUGUCUGGAAUGGCCAGUUCCACCAUUUGAUAUUAUAACUCAGUGGUGUUUUGAGAUAAAAUCAUUUACUGAAAGACAUGCAGAACAAGGAAAGGCUUUGCUUAUCCAAGAAUCAAAAUGGAAAUUACCGCACCUGUUACAGUUACCUGAGAAUUAUAACACCAUUUUUCAGUACUACCACAGAAAAACGUGUAGUGUCUGCACCAAGGUUCCUAAAGAUCCUGCUGUUUGCCUUGUUUGUGGUACUUUUGUAUGCCUAAAAGGACUUUGCUGCAAGCAACAAAGUUACUGUGAAUGUGUAUUGCAUUCUCAGAACUGUGGUGCUGGAACAGGCAUUUUCCUUUUGAUCAAUGCAUCAGUGAUCAUCAUUAUUCGAGGUCACCGCUUCUGCCUCUGGGGUUCCGUGUAUUUGGAUGCUCAUGGAGAAGAAGACCGGGAUCUUAGGCGCGGCAAACCUCUCUACAUUUGUAAGGAAAGAUACAAAGUUCUUGAGCAGCAAUGGAUUUCUCAUACUUUUGAUCACAUCAAUAAAAGAUGGGGUCCACAUUAUAAUGGGCUAUGACUCACCACCUCAGCAUUGCAUCAUUUUCAUUAAGAAUUUAUUUUAUCAACAAUAAGCUUUAACUUAAUUUGGGGAGAGUAAUGUUUUUGCUGAGGGGAAAAAAAGAAUACAUUAUGAAGCCUUUCCAAAAUUAGGUGCUUGGUAAUCACUUAAUGGAAUAGUAAUUUUUUUUUAAGUAUCUGGAGAACAUAAUAAAUAAAUCAUUCUUUAGUGGUCAUUUUUUUAAGUGCACAAUUAAUAAAAAGCACAACUUGUCCAUAAAAUCAUUCAGAAGUUAUUCUCCCAACAAUGCAUAUCAGCUAUUCAUUGAUACUUAGAAUGGGUGUGAUUUAUUUGAAAUUUUAUUGCUCCUUUCUAUCUGUGUUUUAAUUUGCAUCUGCUAAACAUAAUGCAUCUUUUUCCUCUGCCAUUCUUGUGUUAAUUUGAAAUUUUUGCUGUAUGUAACUAGAAAAAAUGUAAAACAUGAUUUAUGUGAAAUAUUGUAUAGUAAAAGUUAGUCUAAUAGUAGAAUCUUAAUUUUUUUUUCUUAUUGUGAGGAAUCGUUAAAAGUUUAAGGCUUUGCUGAAAACUUAAUUCAUUCUCAGGAAUUUCAUAAAUAUUCUCCCCAGGUAAAUGAAAUAGUUGUAAAAUAAGUAGAUAGCGCUGUUAAUAUAAAUACAGUACAUUUUGAAGAGCAUAUGUGUGAUUGAGGGGGGGGGGUCCUUAAUAAUUAAAAUUUGUGGACUGAAGGUGUAGCUCAGUGGUAAAGCGCUUGCCUAGCAUGUGUGAGGCACUGAGUUCUAUCCUGAGCACUGCAAAAGAAAAAAAGAGAAACCAAAAGAUUUAAGAAAAUCCACAUGACAAAUUUUGAUCCUGUGCAUGCCCACCUUUUAUUACCAACCAAGUUUUUGUUUAUAUGAUUGGAUUGGAAAUACUCUUACUUCCCAACUAAUAAACCGAACCGUAAGUUUUGGAACUUUCUUAUCAACUCAAGAGAUUCAGCUACAUUGUAUUCAUGCAGUGGAAUCACUGCUAUUUCUGCUUGGUUUACUAUAAGGAGAAAAAAAGGCUCAGUGGUGAUGAACCUCAUGAAUGAACAGUACAUGAAAAGCAAUUUUUGUUUGUAAGGGUUUUUAAAUCAGUAAAAAUGGGAUGAUUGAGCUACAACCUACUCUAUAAUAAGAAAAGUACAUGGAAAGCAUGUUAUACAUUGCUACUAAGAUUUUUUCCAGAUGACUCAGUAAUUUGAUGAUUAUUUCAUAUAUUAUGCUAUUGAGCAAUUCCUGGUACUUUGGAGUUUCAUGGCUUGUUAUAUAAAAUUACAAUUUUACAUGUAAAAAUAAAAUUUAAAACAUCUAAUGAUAAAACGUAAAAAUAACAUCAGAUUCAUGUUCUAAAAUUUUUUUGAAUGAUAUGGCAUUACUGAAUAUGAAAAUGAACAUUAAAUGAUGGCCUUGCAUUAUAAUAGGGAAAGCAGAGUAGUACAUAUUCAACUGUGUUCAGAACAUCAAUAAAUUACCUACAGCUCUACAAGAAAAUACAUGGAAAUAGCCUGCUAUUUUUAUAUACAUUUCCAAAAUAUUCAGACAACUUUCUGUAAGACUAGAAUGAUUCUGUUUCACUAAAUCACUAUCCUUUCCAACACAUUGCUACUUUUUUAAAUACUGUAUUAUAAGUUCAGCCUGUCAUAUUUUUGCAUUGGUCAUUAUGAAUACCAGACCAUUUGUAAGUGUGGUUGAAGAGCAAAAUACUAAUUCACAUCACUAGUAAAUACUGUUACAGGAUUCAUGAACUUGAAUAAUUCUACAGUUUGAAACUGAUGCUAUAUAUACCUGGUAUAAUGUAUUCAGACUUUGAUUACUACAUAUUUAAAAUGGAAUGUUUUAUGGUUGUGCAUAUGGAUGUGAAGUGAAAAUAUUAGCCUUAACUUUAAAAUUUGGGUAUUUGAUAGUGUUUAUUUUGAUAUUGGUGAAUUAGUCACCAGUAAAUUUAAAAAAAGCACUUGGUUGAAAAUUGUACUUGAAUACAUACAUGCAUGCUGCUAAACUAGAACUUUAAUUUUUUUCUCCAUAACUUUUAUAAGUCCCAUUUAUAAACCCACUUUUAAAAAUAACAGGUCCAAGUUAGAGUGAUGUGUGUAUAUUAUUAAAAAAAUGUACUGGUGUGAUAUCUUGUAUGAAUGAUCAUUUAAAUACAGUACAUUACUGUAGAAGCUAAAGCAGCCUUUAUAAUUAAGCAGAAAUUACAAAACUAGGAAUAACCAACAUUGUAAGAUAUGUUAAUAAAAACCUACUGUCAUUUGGUUUGUGAAAGGUCCUUAAAAUGUUUAAUGCUAAAUGUUUUUCUUUUUCCAAAGAUAUUGACAGUGAUAUAUGUGAGUGGCCUAAAAGAUCAAAGCAUAAUAUAACUAAUAGUUUCCUUAAGGUGGAGUUUAAUGUGAAGGGUUUGCCUCAUAUUUUGCCUUUUAUUUGCAGAGCUAGAUCCUGUUUCUUUUUUCCCGAUCUCAUAUCCAUUGUUAAAUCUUUGCUAAAUGUGUUGGGGUAGAGGAAGAGGGAAAUGGGUGUAUAGACCACUGCUAUGGUCCCUGCUAGACUUCAGACUUUAUGAUGACAUUUAUUUUGAGUAGGUUAUGAUCUUGUCUGAAUUGACAGUCCUCACCCUUCCACCACCCUGCUAAAACUCACCAGCUAGUCAUCAGCUGGGGGUCCAUUUAUAUUCUCAAGAGGUUUCAUUUGAUUUUAUGCAUUCUGGUACUCAUUGAUUUCUGUGACUUAUAGAAGAACUAAAAGCACUGAAAACAACAACAGUACAGAAUACUCUGUAUACCAUUUCCAGGACUGCAAUUGCAACUCUCAAAUUCCUGUUGUUGACUUGUGUUUGAGGUCACAUUGGGAAAAACAAAAUGAAGAAAAGCAUGGUUUUGACCACUAGAAUUAGAGGCAAGGAACAUUUACUGAUGGUUAUGCCAGAUAGUUAACGGUUGUGAGAGAGCUAGUGAUCUGUGACUAUUCCUCAGUCCCUCCCAUUCAUAGCACUUAGUCCUUUCCUCCAAGGCUUUGUGAUCUGGCUGAGUGAUAUCAAACACUGCUUACUUCAACAUGAAUGAGCUGAAAUGAAUAAAAUAAUGGCAGUAUAAUCACUU